UCUAUAUUGGAAGGAACCAGUUCUCUAUCUGUGGAGGGGGCAUGCCUCUCCAGGAACCUUCCGGAAAGAGAGGAAAUUGAAAGAUGGAGGAGGAAGGAAACAAAACUACUCACCUUCUGCAAGCCACGUUUCUUGGAAGUGACUGAGAUCCUGGAAGAGAUCUGAUGGGUGAAUAUUGGAUUGGUGAAGAGGUGGAGAUAAUGUGGGGAAGAGACCUGGGUCAGAUCCUCAGUCUCCCAGGCUGAACUUGUCUUCCUGGAGUGCUGGAAUUACAGACUGCAGGGGUUCCAGACCCUCCUGCAUGCCGUGAAUGGAGUGUGUGUGCCUCAGGAAACUAAUGACCUGCAUCAGUGUGUGUGUGCUCCAGCGUUCACCUCCCUGAAGACAGAGUCUAUGGCUUUUAUCCGGGUCACCACAGAGCAGCAUCUGUCCGGAGGCAGGGGACAUGCCUUACUCCAAACCGGGCUGCCGACACCAGACACCACUUUGCCAGCAAGUGGGGCUUCCCUCCUCUGUUAUCAACAAAGAAGGAAAUUAACUCUCAAGAAGUGGGGCUUUCUCUCAGUGUGUACUUUCAGCU